ACGCGCGCGCGCGUCUCUCGUCAACGGUAUUUAACGACCUAGUGCUAGUGGAUAGAUCGCUUGUCUGAAAUAACAACAUCAACGUGGAAAGAGAGAAACGGUUAACUUGCUGAAAGCGUGAUAUGGACAUUUCACUAAUGAUUUCUUCUUAAUUCGUUUGUUUUGAUUCCUCUACAAAUUGGUAUUUCUCCUUAUGGGAUAUUUAUAAAUUUCACGUUGCUCUUGUUUUAGUGCUGUAUGCUUAGCUCCUAGACUUCAUACUUCUUUGUAUAAGUUAACGAGAGUGAGACAUCUACGUUUUUUUUGAUCUACUAUCCUGCAUUGAAUAUGAUUCUACCAUUACAUUGAGGAAUAUACUUUAUAUCUUGGCGGUGUUAGCUUUUCGUCCGUUGAAUCUUGGGAGAUGGGGUCAUGUGGUGAAAUAGUUUCGGAUAUACACAUUUGAUCGCACUAGAAAAAGCGCAGUUCAGUCCAAGAUCUCGAUCCGUGCGGUGGCAGUUCAAAAGUUAAGAUUCAUAUUUCAUACAGGUGAUAGAUAUGGGUAAAGGCAAAGGCGGUGGCGGAGGUGGAUCCGGUGCAAACGCUGGUGGCAAUCAAAAAGGUGGUGGAGGCAAAUCGAAAGGUGGAAAUGAAAAUAAAGGUGCUGCUGGAGGUAAGGCAGCCAACAAAGGAGGACAGAAGGGUGGCAAUAAAAAAUAGCAGUGGCGACCUGGUGAGCUUCAACCCGUUCCCGGGGGAACAUCCGCAACCGACGGCCUUUCGGAAGAGAUAAUUUGGACUGUGAAAUUUUUUGGCUACGGAUUCGAGUCGAACAAAAUUGUUACUUUAUAAGUAUUUCUUAUUUCUGUGUAUUAACUGUGUUUAAAUAUUUCCUUUAUAAUUUAUAAGACUUUAUAAAAUUAGAUCAAAAGAAGAAAAUUAAAGACGUAAAAGUAUUAAUGACUAUGAAAAUUA